CAGUAGCCGCGGGAAUACGAAGGGUGCAAGCGUUAAUCGGAAUUACUGGGCGUAAAGCGUGCGUAGGCGGUGAGUUAAGUCUGCUGUGAAAUCCCCGGGCUCAACCUGGGAAUGGCAGUGGAUACUGGCUCGCUAGAGUGUGUCAGAGGAUGGUGGAAUUCCCGGUGUAGCGGUGAAAUGCGUAGAGAUCGGGAGGGACAUCAGUGGCGAAAGCGGCCAUCUGGGACAACACUGACGCUGAGGCACGAGAGCGUGGGGAGCAAACAGGAUUAGAGACCCCUGUAGUCCCUGUCUCUUACAC
rnacentral:rRNA from 1 species